GUACACGCUGUGACUAGCAUAUCAAUAAGCGGAGGAAAAGAAACUAACAAGGAUUCCCUCAGUAACGGCGAGUGAAGCGGGAAGAGCUCAAAUUUGAAAUCUUGAAAGGUCACCUUUCACGAAUUGUAGUUUAAAGAAGUGUUUUCUGUUACGAUCGUAAUAUAAGUUCUUUGGAAUAGGACAUCACAGAGGGUGAGAAUCCCGUCUAUGAUUGCGAUUUGUAGCUUUGUGAUACACUUUCAAAGAGUCGGGUUGUUUGGGAAUGCAGCCCAAAACGGGAGGUAAAUUUCUUCUAAGGCUAAAUAUUGGCGAGAGACCGAUAGCGAACAAGUACCGUGAGGGAAAGAUGAAAAGAACUUUGAAAAGAGAGUUAAAUAGUACGUGAAAUUGUCAAAAGGGAAGCGUUCGACACCAGUGUUGUUUUUCUGAAAAUCAAUUAAAGAACUGUUUAUGCUAAGUUGUUUAGACUUUAUCAGCUAUCUGCUUAGUUUUGAGCUUUUCUUUAAUGCACUUUUCAGUUAACAAGUCAACAUCAAUUUCUUUUGCUGUAAAAAAGCUUGAGGAAGGUGGCUUGAGAUUCGUCUUAAGUGUUUAUAGCCUCUUGCCUAUGCAGUCGGAGAGAUUGAGGUCUGCAGCGUAGAUCCUUCGGGGCUAAAUGCAUUUGUGCUAAGUUAUAGCAUUUUAUAGACAACUUGUUGACUAUAAUUAGUCUUGUAGGCUUACUCGCUUAUGUUAUUUUACCUACGCUUAGGAUGUUGACGCAUGAGAUAUACGC
rnacentral:rRNA from 1 species